rnacentral:rRNA from 1 species
UGCCAGACUCCUACGGGAGGCAGCAGUGGGGAAUAUUGCACAAUGGGGGAGACCCUGAUGCAGCGACGCCGCGUGAGCGAUGAAGUAUUUCGGUAUGUAAAGCUCUAUCAGCAGGGAAGAAGAUGACGGUACCUGACUAAGAAGCCCCGGCUAACUACGUGCCAGCAGCCGCGGUAAUACGUAGGGGGCAAGCGUUAUCCGGAUUUACUGGGUGUAAAGGGAGCGUAGACGGCGAUGCAAGCCAGAUGUGAAAGCCCGGGGCUCAACCCCGGGACUGCAUUUGAAACUGUGUAGCUAGAGUGCAGGAGAGGUAAGUGGAAUUCCUAGUGUAGCGGUGAAAUGCGUAGAUAUUAGGAGGAACACCGGUGGCGAAGGCGGCUUACUGGACUGUAACUGACGUUGAGGCUCGAAAGCGUGGGGAGCAAACAGGAUUAGAUACCCCGGUA